rnacentral:rRNA from 2 species
CAACAGGGAUUGCCCUAGUAACGGCGAGUGAAGCGGCAAUAGCUCAAAUUUGAAAGCUGGCUUAUGGCCCGCAUUGUAAUUUGUAGAGGAUGCUUUUAGGCAGCCGCCGGUCUAAGUUCCUUGGAACAGGACGUCAUAGAGGGUGAGAAUCCCGUAUGUGACCGGCUCUGGCACCUUAUGUAAAGCUCCUUCGACGAGUCGAGUUGUUUGGGAAUGCAGCUCUAAAUGGGAGGUAAAUUUCUUCUAAAGCUAAAUACUGGCGAGAGACCGAUAGCGCACAAGUAGAGUGAUCGAAAGAUGAAAAGCACUUUGGAAAGAGAGUUAAAAAGCACGUGAAAUUGUUGAAAGGGAAGCGCUUGCAAUCAGACUUGGACUUGGCUGUUCAACAGGUCUUCUGACCUGCCUAUUCAGUCUUGUCCAGGCCAGCAUCAGUUUCGGCGGCCGGAUAAAGGCCCUAGGAAUGUGGCUUUCCCUUCGGGGGAAGUGUUAUAGCCUAGGGUGUAAUACGGCCAGCUGGGACUGAGGUCCGCGCUUCGGCUAGGAUGCUGGCGUAAUGGUUGUAAGCGGCCCGUCUUGAAACACGGACCAAGGAGUCUAACAUCUAUGCGAGUGUUAGGGUGUCAAACCCUUACGCGUAAUGAAAGUGAACGGAGGUGAGAACCCGCAAGGGUGCAUCAUCGACCGAUCCUGAUGUCUUCGGAUGGAUUUGAGUAAGAGCAUAGCUGUUGGGACCCGAAAGAUGGUGAACUAUGCCUGAAUAGGGUGAAGCCAGAGGAAACUCUGGUGGAGGCUCGCAGCGGUUCUGACGUGCAAAUCGAUCGUCAAAUUUGGGUAUAGGGGCGAAAGACUAAUCGAACCAUCAGCCUACUAGGUGGUUAAGAGGGACGUAAAAGGCGAGCCCUAGUGGUGUCCAACUGUUAAAAGUGAAGACACUGCGACACUAUCAAAUUGUUCGGGGAGUCCCUAAAGCUCAAUCUACUAAACAGCGGUGGAAACACACGUUGUGGCCGGGGUAUGAC